AGAAUUUGAAGAUAUCAUCUUGUAGGAAUCUGGAAUCAGUGUCAAUGUCAGAGGCACCACACGCUGCUCUUCAACGUCUCUCCAUUAGCUUCUGCCACAAAUUAGUGUCAUUUGCAGGAGAAGGACUGGCUGCACCCAACUUGACUCAUCUUCAAGUCACAUAUUGCUCGAAGUUGGAGGCAUUACCACGUGACAUGAAGAGUCUACAGUCUCUCGAGAUAUCUGGCUGCUCAGACAUGUGCAGGUUGGCAGAGGGUGGUUUCCCGCCUAAUUUGAAAUCACUUGAAGUGGGAGGUUGCGAGGAACAACUGUGGGAUCUAUCAUGGAUCGCCAACUUCCACGCCCUCACUCAUCUCAGAAUUUAUGGUUUAGGGUGUGAGAACAUAAAGUCAUACCCAGAGGUGGGUUCGCUGCCUCACCUUCCCUCCCUUACCACUCUUGAGAUAUGGCACUUCCAUAAUCUGGAGACAUUGGAAUGCAACGAGCUUCUCCGCCUCACCUCCCUUCAACAACUACACAUUAAUUGGUGUCCAAAGCUGGAGAAUAUGGAAGGAGGAAACCUGCCUCCCUCUCUCUUGCUACUUCAUGUUUAUUCUUGUGAUUUGCUGGGAGAACACUGCAAGAACAAGCAUCAACUAAUCUGGCCCAAAAUUUCCCACAUUCCCACCAUUCAAGUCGAUUUUGAACAAAUUUUCUGAAUAGAGAUUUCUGAAGAGGUACAUUGUAAUGAAGUAAAAGUGCCCAAAUGGCAGAGAUUUCAUCAUAUAUAAUCUUGUACAAAUAUUUUAGCUUCAGGUGAAAAGUUCACGGAUGUUAGAGAUUUCAUUGCACAUAUAUAUAUAUAUAUAUUGGAGAUGUAAAGUGGAUUAAUGUGUUGGGAAGCAGUAGUGUUUUUUUAUUUCAGCUUUCAUUUUAAUUGAUAUCUACACUAGUAAAUUAAUGACUGAUGUGUAUCAUAUCCACACUACAUGUGGACUUGCUUGGAUUAUUCAAUUCAAUGCUUUGCUUCGAAGACAGGAACCAUAGAUGGUUGUUUGGUUAUCAAUAGCAGUCAUGUUUGGUUAUCAAUAUGCUAAACAAAUGAGUUUCAAUAUCUAAUGCAAAGGUUGUAUCAAA